rnacentral:rRNA from 1 species
AUAGAGACUCAGAGCUGCAUAUCAAUAAGCGGAGGAAAAGAAACUAACAAGGAUUCCCCUAGUAACGGCGAGUGAAGCGGGAAGAGCUCAAAUUUGAAAUCUUCAAGGGUUUCCCUUGACGAAUUGUAGUUUAAAGAAGUGUUUUCUGUUAGAGAGGUGGUAAAAGUUCUUUGGAAUAGGACAUCAUAGAGGGUGAGAAUCCCGUAUUUGAUCACUUUCUACUAACGUUGUGAUACACUUUCAAAGAGUCGGAUUGUUUGGGAAUGCAGUCCAAAAUGGGUGGUAAAUUUCAUCUAAAGCUAAAUACUGGCGAGAGACCGAUAGCGAACAAGUACCGUGAGGGAAAGAUGAAAAGAACUUUGAAAAGAGAGUUAAACAGUACGUGAAAUUGUCAAAAGGGAAGCGUUUGACACCAGUGUUGUUUUCUCGAAAAUCAAUUAAAAAUGGUGGGAUGUUGUGUUGUAUUGACUUUAUCAGCUUUCUGCACUUUUUUUCCUAUCUUUUUUAAUGCACUUUUCGUUUAACAAGUCAACAUCAAUUUCUUUUGUUGUAAAAGAGUCAUUGGAAGGUGGCUUUUUCUUCGGAGAAAGUGUUUAUAGCCUUUGGCUUCUGCAAUCGGAGAGAUUGAGGUCUGCAGCGUAGAUCCUUCGGGGUUAGAUACAUUUGUGCUAAGCUAUAGUUCUUUCAUAGACAACUUGUUGACUAUGAUCAGUCCUGUAGCUUACUCGCUUAUGCUAUUUUACCUACGCUUAGGAUGUUGAUAGUCACAGCGUGUAC